rnacentral:lncRNA from 1 species
CCGAUAAUUUCACAUGUGAAAUAAACGUGGUUAUUUCACUCUCUGACGUCAUACAACAAUAGGCGUUGUCAAGACGUCGAUAACGUCGGAUAAAAACAAAUUGUCAAUGCGUAGGAAAAAGAUAUAGUUCCUUACAUUUUCUACAUUAAUUUCAUAAAAAAAGCCAUUUGCCAAUGUAAUAAAAAGAAUAACUAAUCGCCGUAUUUGAAUAUCAAAAAUAAGACAACUUGUGAC